rnacentral:rRNA from 1 species
CCUACGGGUGGCUGCAGUGGGGAAUAUUGGACAAUGGGGGCAACCCUGAUCCAGCCAUGCCGCGUGUGUGAAGAAGGCCCUCGGGUUGUAAAGCACUUUCAGUGAGGAAGAACGCCUGGUGGUUAAUACCCAUCAGGAAAGACAUCACUCACAGAAGAAGCACCGGCUAACUCCGUGCCAGCAGCCGCGGUAAUACGGAGGGUGCGAGCGUUAAUCGGAAUUACUGGGCGUAAAGCGCGCGUAGGUGGCUUGAUAAGCCGGUUGUGAAAGCCCCGGGCUCAACCUGGGAACGGCAUCCGGAACUGUCAAGCUAGAGUGCAGGAGAGGAAGGUAGAAUUCCCGGUGUAGCGGUGAAAUGCGUAGAGAUCGGGAGGAAUACCGGUGGCGAAGGCGGCCUUCUGGACUGACACUGACACUGAGGUGCGAAAGCGUGGGUAGCAAACAGGAUUAGAUACCCCGGUAGUC